rnacentral:rRNA from 1 species
GCGGCAACAGCUCAAAUUUGAAAUCUGGCCCCCGGGUCCGAGUUGUAAUUUGUAGAGGAUGCUUUUGGCGAGGUGCCUUCCGAGUUCCCUGGAACGGGACGCCAUAGAGGGUGAGAGCCCCGUCUGGUCGGACACCGAGCCUCUGUAAAGCUCCUUCGACGAGUCGAGUAGUUUGGGAAUGCUGCUCAAAAUGGGAGGUAUAUGUCUUCUAAAGCUAAAUAUAGGCCAGAGACCGAUAGCGCACAAGUAGAGUGAUCGAAAGAUGAAAAGCACUUUGAAAAGAGGGUUAAAAAGUACGUGAAAUUGUUGAAAGGGAAGCGCUUAUGACCAGACUUGGGCCCGGUGAAUCAUCCAGCGUUCUCGCUGGUGCACUUUGCCGGGCACAGGCCAGCAUCAGUUCGGCGCGGGGGACAAAGGUUUCGGGAAUGUGGCUCCCCCGGGAGUGUUAUAGCCCGUUGCGUAAUACCCUGCGCUGGACUGAGGUACGCGCAU